AUUAUUGUUGUGACUUGUAUAUUCGUUCUUUGCGUAUUUGCAUAUAUGUAUCGAUAAGUUACGUAUUAUUUACAUUUACAUUUACAUUUUAAAUAAGGAAGUUUACAGCGCAAAGAAUUUAACUACAACAUCGCAUUCAAACUCAAGAUGAUCUGGGAAAUAUUAGCAGUCUUAACUGGCCUUGUGGCUAAAAAUGUAAAUGGUUUGUACCGACGUGCUUACAGAUAUACGUAUUAUAAUUAUUAUAAUUAUUAUAGCUAUUAUCGUUAUUCUAGCUACACUUAUGCCUAUUCAACAACUAUAGGUCUAAUUGUUGGCGGUGUAAUUGGGGCUGUUGCUCUGAUUGCUUUCGUGAUUGCAUUGAUAUGUUGCUGUAGACGAUCCCGUGGAAGGGCUGGCACUGUUUUAACAACCAACAAUCCAACCGUUACUUAUGUAAACCAAUCUACAGUACACCAACCAGGUGUUUACCCUAAUCAACCAGGAUAUCCAAAUACAGCAGCAUAUCCUGCAAUGGCCGCCGGACCGCCACCGUAUGCCUACGUAAAUAACGCCUAUCCAUCUCAACCGGAGCAGCCGCUGGGUGUUCAAAACGUAUCACCUAUGCCGCAACCAACACAGGAACCCGGCAUGCCGGUUAAACAAUAAUUCCAGACCCCGAUAUUGUAUUGUCUUGGCAAUUUACCCCAUUUACUGACACGUUUAAUGGACUAUAAAAUAUAUUAGCCUAUAGAUAAAGCUGUCAAGAUUAAAAGUAUAUUGACCCUUCAAUUUCAUUCCGUGUAAAAUCAAUACCUGACGUUUAUUAAAUCAAUCCAAUCUUACUAAAGAAAAUAUAUUUCAUCCAUGUAAACUAUGUACAUUUACGUGGUGAUUUGCAAGCAAGUAAACGUAAGCUCUCUCCUGCUUUCUAUACGUUAACCCUCCUACCCGCAUGCAAAUACCGUAAAGGAAACCGAAUCUCUUACAACAUUAGACUGUCGAUUAUCAGCCUUACAAUACAAGUUAAAAAAUAACAAAAUAAUUUUAAAAAUACCCCCUAACCCAAUAUAUUUACAUUCAAGCUAUCGACAGACGAAUUAUUUAUUGUUAAUUUGACAAUAAAUAGCUAAUCACAUGAAAAGAACUGGAAUAUGUGGAGAUAGUCAUGACUAUUCCUGUAAAUAAACGGAUGUAACUAAAGAAUAAAUAAUCUCAAUCAACUAGACAAAUCGGCCCCGUUUGUCGCGACGCAGGAGCGCCAUCACGUAGUGAUCUCUAAAACUAUUAUGGCCACUUCCGCCUUCAUUUCUAUCGGGUUUGGAGCUCAAACGACGGCAAUAAACUCGCUCUAACUUGACUGAAUGAAAAAUCUAACAUACCUUUCGACUUUGUGGAAUAACAAUCUAUAAUUCUAGUGAUCUUUUUUUUUGAAAAUCUUAUCGGAUUCCUGAGAACAGAUGUAUUUUCUUCAUGAUCACCAUCAAAACAUUGAAGAAUCGAUUAUGUCGUAAAUUUUAUGUUAAUUAGAUUGCCAUUACUUAGAUUUUCCUUUUUCUCACCAUUUUAUUGGGAUGAUACGAAUAUUUAGUAUAUAUUAAAGACGUCUCUAUUCAUUUGACCUCAUUUGACGUUUAAACCUAUAUAAUGUACAUGAAUUUUAGGUACUAUUUUUUUUUGCGGAUGAAUACAGCUGUUCUGUAUUGUAUUCUGUUGUUUGGUUCAGAUUUCACCGCCGUCUUAGACUGUAAAAAUUUUGGAUCCAUGUGUCGACGCUUUAAAUCACAUGGAUCCAUUAAACCUUCUAACUGUUUAAUUCCAUUUUUUUCAUUGAAGAUUCUUAUAUUACAAAUCUUUCCUUACACUAGAAACGUAUUCACUGGAUAUUCUCUAAAUAUUGUAGUAGUAUAUAUUUUCAUAUAUAAUUUGCACACGUAUUUAAUUAAUAAGAUUUAAAUUGCGUAUUUUAUUUUAAAACUUAAGUAACAUUUCUUUGCUGACGUUGACACGUAAGACUUUUCAAAGAAUACGCUGGGAUUAACUGGAGGCAAUAUAACUACUCAAACUGAAUUAAUAAAAGAUAUAUUUCAUACUUCUAGUUUAUACCAGCUAAUUUAACUAAAAUAACUUCUGUUAUUUCAUUGAUUUAUAUAACGAUUUUACUAAACCGAAAAGUAGGAUUUAACAAAUCUAGUAAAUACUUAUUUAGUAAAAUAAACUUGAUUUAUAUUAUAUUCGUGAUUUAUGUCAAAUAUCAAAUAAUGAUAUCAUGAUUAUAUAAACGGAAAAGUACGUGUCUUUAUAUGAAAACGAAUCAAUACUUGUUUAUAUUUAUAUUUCAAUGAUUUAAUAAUGUAUUGCUUUAAUUAGAUAAAAUACAUAAAUAAGUAAACGGAAAAGUACGAUUUUAUUACAAUUGAUAAUACCUGUUUUACUAUAAUUUAUAGUUAAGAUUUAAAUGAUUUCAGACAUCAGAGUUAUAUGUUAUAACAAAGCGAGUUAUAUUUAGUUUAUAUUUUCAUAUUUACGCCACCCAUAAUUGAUUAUAUUUGGGUUUUUUUAUAUAUUCACACUUUUAUUUCAUAUAUUUUGAUAUUGACUUGAAUAAAUUAUACUUUUAAAAUUCAAAGGGUACGGAAUCGCACGUUUAUAUAAUAUCUCAAAGUUCUGAACAGUUAAUAUUAGAUUCUUUUGAAAAAGGAAGUCAGUUAAACUUUAAUUAGAUCAAACUGUAAUACAGUCCAUAUCAUAACUGUCUCUAAUAAAGUGUUUAUUAUAUUUUUUAUA